AGCUAUUGUAUAAUUUUACUAAAAUAAAAAUUAAGCAUCUUUUAUAGGAAAUGCCCAAGCAAUUACAACGAGGGCGAAUAUAUAUGAGCAAACGUCUUGAAUAAAAUGUAAGCACCCGCCACGAUCAGAUGAUACACUUCUGUGCUGGGAUACCCGUAAGUAAGUAUCAAUCAGCUUCUUUACAAAAACAGCCACGUAAAGUCCAACAGCGACCUAAGGUGACGACGAACAUAAUAAAUGUUUUAGUUAUUUGUGGAAACAUUUAAUGGAUGCGUCUGAGCGUCCAGCAACAUAAAUUCCACAUUGGCGUCCAGACGAAUGAGUGCGAAUAUUGUGGGCAUGGCUUUGUUUAUAUCCAGCGGCACAUGAAUAAACAGAUCAAUCGACCUUGUGCCCCGCUUCCUUCACCGAUCGCUCAACUACGAGCAAGCAUCAUUGCAGAGAUAACAAGAAGCGUACUUACGAAAGGAUAUGUGCCUUAAAACGAUAACCUAUUCGGACAAUUCUAAAUUCCUCAACGGCUUAUACAAAAGGGGAAAACCGCACUUUUGUGUUGUUAAUGUAUUGUUGACACCCAUGAAAUACGAUUGCAUUGUGUGUCGCAUAAGAAACAGGAAAACUUGUUGACUUGGACAUGCAAACGAGAAAACCUAUUAAUAAUGAUAUGGUUACCUUUUGAAUAAGGGGAAAUUGAGUAUGUAAAAUUUUAUUAGUUAAAAUAACUUUGCCUGGUUAAAACCGAUUUAUAAACGCUGGUCUAUUCAUACAUUUUUAAUACCCUGAACCCAUUAAAAAUGGGUAUAAGGAUAUA